ensembl:ncRNA C07E3.15 ncRNA
UGUUGUGUCAUAACACAAACACAGAGACAGUAUGGUGUCGGGUCGGGCGCGUCCCCCCGUUUUCCCCCCA